rnacentral:rRNA from 1 species
UACGGAAGGCAGCAGUGGGGAAUAUUGCACAAUGGGCGAAAGCCUGAUGCAGCUAUGCCGCGUGUAUGAAGAAGGCCUUAGGGUUGUAAAGUACUUUUCAUCGGGGAGGAAAAAACAAAACUAAUAAUUUUAUUUCUUGACGUUACCCGAAAAAGAAGCACCGGCUAACUCCGUGCCAGCAGCCGCGGUAAUACGGAGGGUGCUAGCGUUAAUCAGAAUUACUGGGCGUAAAGAGCACGUAGGUGGUUUUUUUAAAGUCAGAUGUGAAAUCCCUGGGCUUAACCUAGGAACUGCAUUUUGAAACUGAAAUACUAGAGUAUCGUAGAGGGAGGUAGAAUUCUAGGUGUAGCGGUGAAAUGCGUAGAUAUCUGGAGGAAUACCUGUGGCGAAAGCGGCCUCCUAAACGAAUACUGACACUGAGGUGCGAAAGCGUGGGGAGCAAAACAGGGAUUAGAUACC